CCGGGUUGCGGACAGUGUCUGGUGGGUAGUUUGACUGGGGCGGUCUCCUCCUAAAGAGUAACGGAGGAGCACGAAGGUUGGCUAAUCCUGGUCGGACAUCAGGAGGUUAGUGCAAUGGCAUAAGCCAGCUUGACUGCGAGCGUGACGGCGCGAGCAGGUGCGAAAGCAGGUCAUAGUGAUCCGGUGGUUCUGAAUGGAAGGGCCAUCGCUCAACGGAUAAAAGGUACUCCGGGGAUAACAGGCUGAUACCGCCCAAGAGUUCAUAUCGACGGCGGUGUUUGGCACCUCGAUGUCGGCUCAUCACAUCCUGGGGCUGAAGUAGGUCCCAAGGGUAUGGCUGUUCGCCAUUUAAAGUGGUACGCGAGCUGGGUUUAGAACGUCGUGAGACAGUUCGGUCCCUAUCUGCCGUGGGCGCUGGAGAACUGAGGGGGGCUGCUCCUAGUACGAGAGGACCGGAGUGGACGCAUCACUGGUGUUCGGGUUGUCAUGCCAAUGGCACUGCCCGGUAGCUAAAUGCGGAAGAGAUAAGUGCUGAAAGCAUCUAAGCACGAAACUUGCCCCGAGAUGAGUUCUCCCUGAGACUUACAGUU
rnacentral:rRNA from 1 species